UACGUAGGGCGCAAGCGUUGUCCGGAAUCAUUGGGCGUAAAGAGCUCGUAGGUGGUCUGUUACGUCUGCUGUGAAAUCCUAGGGCUUAACCCUGGGCCUGCAGUGGAUACGGGGCAGACUAGAGGUAGGUAGGGGAGAAUGGAAUUCCCGGUGUAGCGGUGAAAAUGCGCAGAUAUCGGGAGGAACACCGGUGGCGAAGGCGGUUCUCUGGGCCUUACCUGACACUGAGGAGCGAAAAGCGUGGGGGAGCGAAACAGG
rnacentral:rRNA from 1 species